GCACGGAUUAAGUCUCUGGAUUCACCGUCACGGUGUUUUUACAAAAACGUCCUUGUUAUUUAAAGCAUUCAACCCGCAGUCCCUUUCUAAGUGGAUUCUUCAAAAACGUUUCGUUUUUGCAUAAAACUCCCCGUUGUUUAGUAUAUUCAACCCGCGGUUCUUUUUAAAGUGCAAUUGAAUCCUUGAAUAAAGACACGGCUUCCUUCCAUGCUCCUCGAUCUGUACGGUAUGGUGCCGCCGCCGGCCCGCCGGUCUUCUUCUCCGGCCGUCAGCGCCCUCUUUUCCUUCCCCUCAAUAUCCGCUCCUAAGCUUCUCCGGCGUCUCCUGCAGUCUCCUCAAUCUCCAACCUCUUGCUCCAGUGCUGUUCUUCUCUGAUUUGGAUCGAGUUGGAGUCCGUCUCCAACACAAAAUCAUGGAGUGCCCGACCCGGAUUGGACUUGGCGGCCAUAAGAAGGAAGGAUCCUCCACCGCUUGCCUGCCUUGCGCCUCCCGGCGCUCUCGCGUUGUGGCUCGACCUGGCCCUUGCCCUGUCUCUCGCCAUCGGCUGCCAGGUCAGAGACCUCGCCUCGGUCCUCCUUCUUAGCGCCUGGGUCGCCAGCCACGCUCAGCCCCCUCCUUGGCUUUGAUCUGAUGGCCCUUCCCCAACCUCCUCGACCUCGACAGAUCCGGGAGGCCGCCGCUCGGUCAGGAAGAAAAUUGCACAUGGGCUGAUUCAGACUUUGAGGGUUCAGAAAACAGCUUGAAGAGCCAAUCGAUAUGAAGGUGUUGCUCCUUUGUACCAGAUCAUAAAUAGAAGGGGACAUGGUUCUGAUUUGUGACUAUUGUGUGCUCUUGGACAGUCGAGGGAGUGGGGGUCAGAAGAGGGACGUUGGUGGUGUUCGAGAUGUAUUGGUGGUCAGCUAUUGGUAGGGCCCUCAUGGAGACACUGGACAAGAUGGUGCUCAGUGGUGUGCUCAGCCCCAAGCUCGCCUUAAGCGUCCUCCUGCAGUCCAGUAAGUCCAUGAGAGGUCGGACCCUUCCCUGGACCCUGUGCAAGCGGGAGCUACAUGCACCAGGUUGCCCUUUUUAGUCCAUGAGAGGUUGGAGCACCAGGUUAAGAGCAAGGCAUUCUUCAAGUAAUUCAUCUCAUCCAGUAGGUUGAUAGUUUUUUCGGCCGAACUGAGAAGCAAAGAUGCCCAAAACUCUGACUUGCAAGAAAAUGUGAAGUCUCAACAAGCCGAAGCUGCAAAAGAGAAAGAGGAGCUGACGCAGGCCCUGGACGGAAUGGAAAAAUUGAAAGAAUCUUUCAACCAAGAUCUUGCUGAAUGGGAAACCGAAAAAGUCGGUUUGACCAAAAGAGCUAUAGAUGCCGAGGAAGCCCUGAAACUGGUGGUUGAAGAACUAGCCGGUUUGAAGCGCCAAAUCAACGCUAUGACCUCUGCUAUCUUUGGAAUUCGGAUCACUCAUCUUGGUGCAGAUAUGCGGAUGAAGCUCAAAGUGGCAUAUACAUUGGUUGAGCAGCUAUACUCUGGAUCUUAGCGAGCCAUUAGUACAUCGGCUUAUAACAAUCCGGCGCCAACGUUGAUUAAGGAGACCCUUGAGAAGCUGGGCAUGUUACCGGCACAUAUUUUCGAGUUGAAAAGAGCCGCUGCGAGAGCAGGAGCAUUAACCGCCCUUAUUCGAGCCAAGGCCUGGAUUCCAGACCUUGAAGCGAAGGAUAUCAUUAAAGGAUAUUCAGGCGUUAAAGAAGACAGUUCAAACUUUGACAAUGAUGAUCUUCGACGGCUGACCAAACAGAUGCGGCCAGCGGCCAGCAAAUUGGCUGAGGACACCGAUUUGUCCCAUUUUCAAUCGUUUUAUGAUGCAGAAGGAAAAAGACAGCCGACCGAUAUCCAUGAAGUCGAAGAACUUGUGCCUCCGAUUCGUAAGCACACUUAUGCCCCUGAUAUUAACUCUUCUGAUCUUAUCCAUGAGGAAGCAGUGUUCCAAGCUUUAACCGGAAUUGAUUGGUCAACGGCUGAUUUCCAGCGGCUAGGGAGGGAUGAAGAAGUGCCGACACCAACUAAUCCGCAACCGUCAAACCGUCGUGAUGAAGAAUCCUGAUCCGGUCGCUGGUUUAUAUGGCUACUGUGAAAAACAAUGGCACUGUUUGAACCGCUUUGAAGCUUCAUGUAAUAGGAUAGCUGAAACUUUGUUUAUCUGCCAUGCCAUCGAGCAUGUUUCAUAACGCUUUGUGAAAAUCUGUGCCGCCAUUCAGGAUAUAUUUUAUGCAUAGCCUAUGAUGACU